rnacentral:rRNA from 1 species
AGCGUACACGGUGGAUGCCCUGGCAGUCAGAGGCGAUGAAGGACGUGCUAAUCUGCGAUAAGCGUCGGUAAGGUGAUAUGAACCGUUAUAACCGGCGAUUUCCGAAUGGGGAAACCCAGUGUGUUUCGACACACUAUCAUUAACUGAAUCCAUAGGUUAAUGAGGCGAACCGGGGGAACUGAAACAUCUAAGUACCCCGAGGAAAAGAAAUCAACCGAGAUUCCCCCAGUAGCGGCGAGCGAACGGGGAGCAGCCCAGAGCCUGAAUCAGUGUGUGUGUUAGUGGAAGCGUCUGGAAAGGCGCGCGAUACAGGGUGACAGCCCCGUACACAAAAAUGCACAUGCUGUGAGCUCGAUGAGUAGGGCGGGACACGUGGUAUCCUGUCUGAAUAUGGGGGGACCAUCCUCCAAGGCUAAAUACUCCUGACUGACCGAUAGUGAACCAGUACCGUGAGGGAAAGGCGAAAAGAACCCCGGCGAGGGGAGUGAAAAAGAACCUGAAACCGUGUACGUACAAGCAGUGGGAGCACGCUUCGGCGUGUGACUGCGUACCUUUUGUAUAAUGGGUCAGCGACUUAUAUUCUGUAGCAAGGUUAACCGAAUAGGGGAGCCGAAGGGAAACCGAGUCUUAACUGGGCGUUAAGUUGCAGGGUAUAGACCCGAAACCCGGUGAUCUAGCCAUGGGCAGGUUGAAGGUUGGGUAACACUAACUGGAGGACCGAACCGACUAAUGUUGAAAAAUUAGCGGAUGACUUGUGGCUGGGGGUGAAAGGCCAAUCAAACCGGGAGAUAGCUGGUUCUCCCCGAAAGCUAUUUAGGUAGCGCCUCGUGAAUUCAUCUCCGGGGGUAGAGCACUGUUUCGGCAAGGGGGUCAUCCCGACUUACCAACCCGAUGCAAACUGCGAAUACCGGAGAAUGUUAUCACGGGAGACACACGGCGGGUGCUAACGUCCGUCGUGAAGAGGGAAACAACCCAGACCGCCAGCUAAGGUCCCAAAGUCAUGGUUAAGUGGGAAACGAUGUGGGAAGGCCCAGACAGCCAGGAUGUUGGCUUAGAAGCAGCCAUCAUUUAAAGAAAGCGUAAUAGCUCACUGGUCGAGUCGGCCUGCGCGGAAGAUGUAACGGGGCUAAACCAUGCACCGAAGCUGCGGCAGCGACACUGUGUGUUGUUGGGUAGGGGAGCGUUCUGUAAGCCUGUGAAGGUGUACUGUGAGGUAUGCUGGAGGUAUCAGAAGUGCGAAUGCUGACAUAAGUAACGAUAAAGCGGGUGAAAAGCCCGCUCGCCGGAAGACCAAGGGUUCCUGUCCAACGUUAAUCGGGGCAGGGUGAGUCGACCCCUAAGGCGAGGCCGAAAGGCGUAGUCGAUGGGAAACAGGUUAAUAUUCCUGUACUUGGUGUUACUGCGAAGGGGGGACGGAGAAGGCUAUGUUGGCCGGGCGACGGUUGUCCCGGUUUAAGCGUGUAGGCUGGUUUUCCAGGCAAAUCCGGAAAAUCAAGGCUGAGGCGUGAUGACGAGGCACUACGGUGCUGAAGCAACAAAUGCCCUGCUUCCAGGAAAAGCCUCUAAGCAUCAGGUAACAUCAAAUCGUACCCCAAACCGACACAGGUGGUCAGGUAGAGAAUACCAAGGCGCUUGAGAGAACUCGGGUGAAGGAACUAGGCAAAAUGGUGCCGUAACUUCGGGAGAAGGCACGCUGAUAUGUAGGUGAAGCGACUUGCUCGUGGAGCUGAAAUCAGUCGAAGAUACCAGCUGGCUGCAACUGUUUAUUAAAAACACAGCACUGUGCAAACACGAAAGUGGACGUAUACGGUGUGACGCCUGCCCGGUGCCGGAAGGUUAAUUGAUGGGGUUAGCGCAAGCGAAGCUCUUGAUCGAAGCCCCGGUAAACGGCGGCCGUAACUAUAACGGUCCUAAGGUAGCGAAAUUCCUUGUCGGGUAAGUUCCGACCUGCACGAAUGGCGUAAUGAUGGCCAGGCUGUCUCCACCCGAGACUCAGUGAAAUUGAACUCGCUGUGAAGAUGCAGUGUACCCGCGGCAAGACGGAAAGACCCCGUGAACCUUUACUAUAGCUUGACACUGAACAUUGAGCCUUGAUGUGUAGGAUAGGUGGGAGGCUUUGAAGUGUGGACGCCAGUCUGCAUGGAGCCGACCUUGAAAUACCACCCUUUAAUGUUUGAUGUUCUAACGUGGACCCGUGAUCCGGGUUGCGGACAGUGUCUGGUGGGUAGUUUGACUGGGGCGGUCUCCUCCUAAAGAGUAACGGAGGAGCACGAAGGUUGGCUAAUCCUGGUCGGACAUCAGGAGGUUAGUGCAAUGGCAUAAGCCAGCUUGACUGCGAGCGUGACGGCGCGAGCAGGUGCGAAAGCAGGUCAUAGUGAUCCGGUGGUUCUGAAUGGAAGGGCCAUCGCUCAACGGAUAAAAGGUACUCCGGGGAUAACAGGCUGAUACCGCCCAAGAGUUCAUAUCGACGGCGGUGUUUGGCACCUCGAUGUCGGCUCAUCACAUCCUGGGGCUGAAGUAGGUCCCAAGGGUAUGGCUGUUCGCCAUUUAAAGUGGUACGCGAGCUGGGUUUAGAACGUCGUGAGACAGUUCGGUCCCUAUCUGCCGUGGGCGCUGGAGAACUGAGGGGGGCUGCUCCUAGUACGAGAGGACCGGAGUGGACGCAUCACUGGUGUUCGGGUUGUCAUGCCAAUGGCACUGCCCGGUAGCUAAAUGCGGAAGAGAUAAGUGCUGAAAGCAUCUAAGCACGAAACUUGCCCCGAGAUGAGUUCUCCCUGACUCCUUGA